CCACUUCAGUAUGUCCCAGCCUCCUCCCUUCCCUAGUCUCCUUCCCAAACACCCUGCCAGUAGCCAUCCUGGGGCUUCCUACUGGGACGGGAAGGCCCAGGUGGCUAAAUGCAGGAGCACUUACCCCACGGUGAAGAACUGCCUCAUCUCCUGUCUCCGAGACCUCAUCAGUUGCUUAUACUCCCCGAUCCGGAGCUUUUUGCCGUCAACAAUGCAGGUGCGUUUCGGUCGAGGUUUGUAUUUAUAGUUCGGGUACUUCUCUAAGUGGAUCUUGCUUAGCCGGGCCUGCUCCUCAUAAUAAGGCUGCUUCUCUUGGUUGGACAUGGAUUUCCAGCGAGACCCUAGACAUAAAAAUAGCCCUAAAUACCUAAGUGCUCAAAGCAACACACUCCCGGCAAAUACUGCUUACACUUCCCGCCACUUCACUCACCUGCGCUCUGAGCAGCUCCCGUCACCACAACCACUGAGCCUCACAACCAGUGUUUUAGACUACAGAGCAGAGAAUAACGUUGUACGUGACACAUGCAUUAUGUUACUUCUCUCAAUAAUUUAAAGUUGAUGCUACAGUAAGUAUAUUGUUUUAAAAUAUGUCUUUGCUGCUUAAAGAUUAUCUCCUACACCAAGGUCUUGCCCUAUCCUUCUGCCUAUCUUUCUCAAGAGUGUUAAAAACCUAAAUUUCCUAAGCAUACUUUUGAGUAAAUUCAAACAUCUCCCCACACCCCAAGCAUCUUUAGCGAAGCUCUCCUUUGAUAGGAUGUCAGCAGAUGUUGAUAUUCCUCUGUAUGUAAAAACCUAAGGUGCACACUGUCUCCCCCGGCCUAGGGUAAUUAAAAAGGCUAAACCUUACUUAAGAAGUUAUAGCUUUAGAACCGGAAGGUACAGUUGGAAUUAUAUAUACCAUUUUCAAGUACUAUAAACAUUCAUUCAAAGCUGUACCAAUGAAAGUACAAAAAUUUUUAAUAUGGUUUACACAGGAAGAAAGAAAAGUAUUCACUUCUCUAAUAUUGUUUAUAAAGAAUUAUCUAAACACUUGACGAAGAAGGGAUGUGUUUUUUUACGUGUAUCGAAUUGCAUUUUUGUGUCUCGCUGGUGAAUAAAGCGGUAACAGCUGUGCUGACUGGAUGUUAGCUAUUCUUCAGUGGAGAUUUUUCAUACAUAAACAAAUGGAAAAGUUGUACAAAUAUUCUCUAUAGCCAGCAAUAUCCUGGUCUGUUUUAAUAGCACAUCCAUCCCUGUUCUUUCCUGAUUGUUGUGCAAAAGUUGUGUAGAAAGUCUACAGGGAUAGGCUUCUCUGUUCCGCUGGUUCCCAGCUUAAAGCCCCAGUUAACAGAGGAUUUUUGGUGCUCUUGAAAUGCUUGUGCUGAAAAGUUUAUAUUUUAAUGAAUACACUUAUUAUAUUCUUAACUUUUUUUCACAGAAUGCACACUAGUAAUAUAGAUUCCCCACAGCUGCCAAAAUGGAAACAGAGAGGUUCUGUGCCCGUUUGAGAGCUUACUCAUCCUGCU